AAGGGAAUCAACGAAUGGCAACUUGAGACUGUGGGUCAGAUGUAGUCCUCUAGGGGUGCCUGGGUGGCUCAGUCAGUGAGGCAUGUGACUCUCGAUGUAGGGGUUGUGAAUUCGAACACCACAUUGGGUAUAGAAAUUACUUAAAAAUAAAAUCUUAAAAAAAAAAAAAAAGGUGGUCCUCUAGACAGUUUGAUAUUCUUCAUGUUGCCUGUGGGAAAAUCCCAGCAGACCUCAUUGCAUCAGAUCAACCCUUGAGAUUAGUGAAGAAAAGGGGCUGCCUCAGCUUUGCGCCAGUAGUGAGAGAUCAUUGAUAGUUUCAAAAGCAUAAAUGUUGAUUUCAAGCCAUUAAAUCUAUUGGAAGGAAAACUCAGGGAAAAGGCACUUUCUCUGAACAGUCUGGUUCCUAGGAACAAAGACAAAAAUAUAAACCAAAGGAAAAAGAGCUUAAAAAAAUUUUAUAUGGUCAGUUUUGUUUCUAGAAUCCCAAGCUUUCUGUAUCAUUAGAUAUUUUCAUUUAUUCAGCAAAUGUUUGUUGAAUACCAGUUAUACGCCUGGCUAGGUACUCAGAAUUGAGCAGUAAAUAGGAUGGACAUGGUUACUGUCCCCAUAAACAUGAGAUUCAAUAGGGGGAAGACAGACACUAACAAUCCAUUAUUACUUAAAUGAUUAGUACUACAAAGAAGAAAUUCAAGGAUCCACAGGAAGGUUCAACAGAGACCUGAUCCAGUGCAUGUGGUGAGGGGUGAGGGGAGGGUUUUCGGAGACAUCCAUGUUUGGGGAACUGAAGGAUGAGUAGGGAUUGGUCAGGUAAAAGGGAGGAGGAGGUCAGGAGAGAGCCUUCUAGAAAGGGGGAACAACAUGGUUAUGCACCCGUGAAGUAAGAAGAACAAGAUUCCCUCAAAGAACUGAAAGAAAUCCAAUAAGAAAAUAACAAAAGAGGCAUUUUUCUUGUCUUUUCUCUGAAGACUUGAAGUGUUAUUAAGCUAGGCUAAUAGUACACAAUGGGGAAGACAGCUUUAGACCCUUGUCUCUGGACAUCUUUGGGACUUGGGUUUUCUGGGUCACCUGAUGUUGGAGAAGGAGACUUAUCUCCUUUCAGGAUUAGUUUUCAGAACAUUUAAAACAUUAAUUAAAGUGUUUUGAAAAUAGUCCUAUUAAGUACCAAUUGUUAGUACUACUCUUACCUUGAGUACUCUAAUUGCAGGGCUUGUAUAUCUGAUUGUGGUGUAUGAUCAGUUACAGUUUGAAGCUGUGGUUCUUUGGAGUCGUGGGAGGAAACCAAUGAAAGUCAGGCUUUGGAGACAAUUGCUGCUAUUUUAAUAUGCCCAACCUCCUUCACUUUCCUCAAGUGUCAUGCAGUCAGGGAAGUUUCAUCUGUUAAUGACAGGGAAGUGAAGCAAUCAUUAAUAGAAGUUACAGAAUCCCUGCUCCUCACAGGAACUGACUCACGUAUUUUCAUAUGAAACCAUGGAGUUUUAGGGAGAACCAGAAACUCAGAAACCUGUUUCCUUACCAGGAAAAGUCAUCAUCUCAUCAUCUCGAUUUUUAUUACGACUAGCCACAAAGCAUGAUAUUCUCUCUUGGUUUUUACAAAUUUCUUCUAAGCAUUUUUUUGGGAGACAUCAUGGACGUCAGAAUCGGUAUUGAUUGUAAUUUUCACUUUUAACUUUUGAAUUGGGUGAAGUAGUGCUUUCAAGCUUUUCAGCAAAUGAUUAAGCCGUGAUUCAUUCUGCGUUGCUCAAGAAAGAUCACCAGGGUCAGGAAGGGCAAUCAUAUAGUAAUUCUUGUAAGGUAAAUUCCUUGCAGGUACUUAGAAUUUCUGUCUAGAUAAAUAUACCUCUUUCCAGCUUCCAUCUGCAUUAUUCAGCUGCCUAAGUUCUCAUAAGCUCAGGACCAUCCUAAAGCAUAUAAUCUCCACAUGUUACCCCUCCCCCUUGGGUUGGAAAUGGGUUCUGUUCCAAACGGCUUACUUCCUGAUUCCGAUGAGCCUGUUUGAGGAAAGCCCAGUACUCAUAAUGAGGUGUCCCAGUGCCUGGCCCUUUUACUCACUUACCAAAUCUGUCCUUGUCUUCCCAGCCUACCCAUUUGUUAAAGGCAGUACAGUAUUCAUUCUCUAAAAUCUGACUAAUCAGGAUCUUCUAAUAGUGGGAAUUUUUUUUUCUGUCUUCUUCUAGAUGUAGAAGUAAAUUAUAAAACAGGCUGAAGUUUUUGCAUGAGUAAAAAGGAGGAGAAAAGACAAGUAUACUGGGAUAUCUUCAUAACAGUGGACUGAAUUACAGUGUUGAGAAUAUAUGAACUGGAGCUACAUGUAACAACCUAGAUGAACAUGGGCAAAAAAAA